rnacentral:lncRNA from 1 species
ACUACAACAGAAUUAGGUUAUAGGGACACAUGUUUGGGACACUUUUGAGUAAGUGUCCCAUUUAUCCUAAAACUUAAAAAAAUAUCUACUAAUGCCUAAAUAUAAAGCCCAAUCCAACCAAAAAUAAAAGAUUACUCUACUCAACCCACCACACCCAGUCCAUUUGGCCCGAUUACAAACAGAAAAGAAAAAAAAAAGAAAAAUCAAUUACCAUCUUUUCUUCUCUCUUUACUCAAUCCACUGAAAUUCUAGACGAAGAGCCUUUCCUGUCGUCCUCCUCCGCCACUGCAGGCAACGAGAUAGAGUUUCGGCGGUUGCUAAAUGCUUAAAUAAGUGUUGGUAAAUUAGCAGCGCUCUUUUAGGUUAUAGCGACAUUCUUUAACUGUCACUAUAUACCUAGCGACCCCACAUAUAGCAAUACUUUUUAAAAGUGUCGGUAAUUUUAGCUAGCAGCACUUUUUUGACAUGUACCUACAUUUAAAAGUGUCGCUAUAGACCGUUUUUGUUGUAGUGCGGUGAGUUACGGCAAUCGAUUUUGGGAAACCGAUUCCCGUAGGUUUAUUAGUGGAGAUUGUGAGUUAGUGAUACAUGUUGGUGGGUUGGAUUCUA